rnacentral:rRNA from 1 species
CACGCCCUAAACGAUGUCAACUAGGUGUUGGGAGGGUAAAACCUUUUAGUACCGGAGCUAACGCGUGAAGUUGACCGCCUGGGGAGUACGGCCGCAAGGUUAAAACUCAAAGGAAUUGACGGGGACCCGCACAAGCGGUGGAUGAUGUGGAUUAAUUCGAUGCAACGCGAAAAACCUUACCUACCCUUGACAUGCCAAGAACUUGCCAGAGAUGGCUUGGUGCCCGAAAGGGAACUUGGACACAGGUGC